ACAUGGCUGAGGAGUCUCACAAUAAGACGAAACGGCCGUCCAAUGC
rfam:Schistosoma haematobium scaffold1566_3, whole genome shotgun sequence.